rnacentral:sRNA from 1 species
UCUGCAAACUUGCUGCAAGCUUGCAGCAAUGUUUGCCGGAAGUUUGCAGCUAUCGGCAAACAUCUGCAAACACUAUUUUCUGUGUUCCUGCAAACUUUUUGUUUGCCGCAAGCUUGCAGCAAGUCUGCUGC